rnacentral:tRNA from 1 species
UUUAAAUAGUUUAAUGAAAAUAUUGAUUUGUGAAGUCAAAGUUACUAUGAGUUUUAAAUUA